AUCUCUGGUUGGAGAUCCCUCUCUUGUGGAUUUUUCUCUGUGAGCCUCUAUCUUCAGAGACGGGUCAUGGUAGUUUAUAGACAAGCUGCAUCAGAGGAAAUGUGAAGAACUGGUAAGGAUUUGACCUGAUGCACAGAAGCUUUUUAGAAGUCCUGGUGUAUCCUCAGCUGCCUGAGUCAACGUGAGCUUUGUUCCUGACCUUGGUGAACUCAGGACUUCACUGUUGUGUACAUUUGCUGCCUAACAGGAUCAUGGGAGCUCCUGUCUGAGCAGAGCAGGAGUUCAGCAUGCAGACUGGCAGCGUGGCAGAUAAGCUGACUGACCUCAGAGUCCACUUGGCUGUAGCUGAAUCUGAACUGCACAUAAUCACUUGAAAAACAAAAGUGAAAAGCCAGUAGAAGUGUGGUUUCUGGACAAGGCAUGGAACUGUGGCAGAUCUGCUUCCAGGUCUGCUAGAAACAUCAGCUGUGAUUUAAUGCAGGUCACUUUGCUCCUCCAUACCUCCCUUUCUCAUCUGAGCAAAUGGAGAUAGCAGUGCUUAUGCUUCAUUUGGCAGCUGUUUCUUCCUAUUGUCCAUCCACUGAGCAGGGCUGCUCUUUGUUUAAGAUUCACCCAGUGUGAGAGUGAUACGGUCUUGCUUGAGGUCUAUGGAGCCUUUAGCAGUAGUAACGCAGACAAGCAGUUAACUAAACCAGAAACAAGUAUUCAAACAAUAUGCCUGUGAGGUUUUUCUCUCCGUUGGAUUUCAUGAUGUAUUUUUUUUUCUUUGAUUUACUUCAUACCUCUAGGAAUAUUUGUUUAGCUUUUACAUGACAUUACAGCUUUCUUAGAAAAUCAGAACGUGGCUCUGAGUAAUCAGAUGGCUAAUGCCUUUAUUAUUGUUUCUUUUCAUGUAAUAAUCUGUAGCCUUGACAAAUACCUACUUCAGGCAAUAAACGUAUUCAAGUUCUUGC
ensembl:lncRNA